UCUUCGUAGCAGAAAUGCCAACUUCAUUGACCAUCUAAACCGAUAAUCCCCACCAGUUUGUGUAUUUAUUUUUCGCCCUAUACGAAGGACGAGUGGUCAAACACAGAACUAGUGACGCAGCGCUCGAUUCAAACAUCGUUCAUAUUCAUCCGCAAAAAUUCCAAGUGACGUUACUGACCUGUCCGUAAGGAUUGUUCAAUCAUUUACGAAUCGGUAGUGAAUGAAAUUCAUAGAUCAAAAUGUUCGGAGACUGGAUUUGCCACGAUCCUAGUGAAAUUUUGGUGUUGAAAAAGCACGAUUCGAAUAAUUCCUCCACUUUGAUAUUGAUCUGGCUUCUAAUGGGUCUAGCAUUCGUAAUUGCUUACGGAUAUUGUCUUGGAUCGAUUUUAAUGAGUUUACUGGAGGUUGAGAGCAAGAAAUGCACAAAUUAUUGACUCACUGCAACGAGGAGAGAGAAUUUUGGAAGUUCGACAAAACAGCGAAUGAAUAAUCAGGUUGCAGACGAUGAUAUGAAAGAUGCUGGGAAUCCUUGUACGAAAUUAUAAGAUU